rnacentral:rRNA from 1 species
UACAGAGGGGGCAAGCGUUGUUCGGAAUUACUGGGCGUAAAGGGCGCGUAGGCGGCCUGUUAAGUCGAACGUGAAAUCCCUGGGCUCAACCCAGGAACUGCGUCCGAUACUGGCAGGCUUGAAUUCGGGAGAGGGAUGUGGAAUUCCAGGUGUAGCGGUGAAAUGCGUAGAUAUCGAGAGGAACACCUGCGGCGAAGGCGGGUUGCUGGGCUGACACUGACGCUGAGGCGCGAAAGCCAGGGGAGCGAACGGG